rnacentral:rRNA from 1 species
CCUACGGGUGGCAGCAGUGGGGAAUAUUGCACAAUGGGGGAAACCCUGAUGCAGCGACGCCGCGUGAGUGAAGAAGUCAUUCGUUAUGUACAGCUCUAUCAGCAGGGAAGAAAAUGACGGUACCUGAGUAAGAAGCACCGGCUAACUACGUGCCAGCAGCCGCGGUACGACGUAGGUGGCAAGCGUUAGCCGGAUUUACUGGGUGUAAAGGGAUCGUGGACGGCAGUGCAAGUCUGGAGGUAAAGGCGGGGGCUCAACCCCCGGACUGCUCUGGAAACUGUACGGCUGGAGUGCAGGAGAGGUAAGUAGAAUGCCAAGUGUAGCGGUGAAAUGCGUAGAGAUUAGGAGGAACACCAGUGGCGAAGGCGGCUGACUGGACUGUAACUGACGUUGAGGCUCGAAAGCGUGGGGAGCAAACAGGAUUAGAUACCCGUGUAGUC